rnacentral:lncRNA from 1 species
UUCUAAAUCAUAUCAUAGAGUAUUCUCCCCCAAACGGUUUGAAGGUUAGAGAUCCCUUGUUGCGCAUUUACUUGCCUCCAUAGCUAAGUGGUUUAACCCCAACUAUGUCGUGUACACCCUCCUGAUGGAGUGACUUUGACAUAAUCAAAGAUCAAGGACUUAACCACAAGACAACUUUGAUGCCUCAGGUCAAAGGACUAUUUUGCAUUAUCCCAACCAUGAGUUCUCAUGUGACAUGAAUAUGAGAACUCUUCGUUGAUCGUGUUCAGUGAA